GGUCCGCAUCCGUGAUGCGGAACGGCACCCGUGUAUUGUGGAUCCGCAAAUGCGGUCCGCAACACGUCCCGUGUGAAAGAGGCCUUAGUAAAUGUGCCCCACUCAUCACUGUUUGUGCCCAAGGAUCACCUAAUCUUUCCUUGGCGGCACAAAUGCGUCAGUUACCUGGCAUAACCUGUAGGAGGCAAGUCAGCGGACAAUCAUUUACAUUUUAGCCAUUGCAUUUUCAGGUCUUAAACACUGAUUUGAAUGAAGCUGCGCGGUGCUCAGGCGCUGCUCCAUUCCUCCCAGUUGCAGGCAUGUGGCUGGGGGAGGGGCAGGGAGCCAGAUUUUUUCACCUAUCCGGUGGAUAGCUAAUGAAUGCUUCUCGCUAGAAUACCCCUUUAAUUUCACACCGUACAUUGCCUGAUAGACUUUAGAAAGUUUUUUAACUUUACUUUUAGUAUUUCUUACUUUAACGAUGCAAACAAAUGGCCAAUACCAAUGCAUCUGGAAGCGCUCUAAUGAUAAGCUGACUGUGGGGAGUCCCCAAAGCGAAGAAGAAAUGAAGCAUUCAUUCAAAUCAAAGGGGUGUCCAUGUCCUCCAGCUCUUUUUUUGAUGGAUCCUGAUCCAUAUGUCCCGGUAUGAAAGAGACUUGUCUAAACCAGGCAUGCUCAGCCUGCGGCCCUCCAGCUGUUGCAAAACUACAACUCCCAGCAUGCCUGAACAGCCUACAGCAGGGCAUGGUGGGAGUUGUAGUUUUACAACAGCUGGAGGGCCACAGGUUGAGCAUCCCUGAAAAGGAAACCUGCCGCCAUGAAAAUGCUGUCCAAUCUACCAGCAGCAUGUUAUAAAGCAGAGUAGUAGAAGUAGUCAUUUACUGAUAGAAAAUGUUAUGGGCUUAGGAGUCCAGUGGGCGGAGUUGACAGCCUUCUCUGUAUGAGGGUGCAGGCUCACUGGACUCCUAUGGUCAGAGCAGAGAUUUCAAUGAAUCAAUUACACAUUUUACUGAAUCUUUUCC